rfam:Chlamydia psittaci 02DC14 genomic scaffold CP_02DC14.contig.1318, whole genome shotgun sequence.
GCACCGAUAGCUCAAUUGGAUAGAGUACCUGGCUUCGGACCAGGUGGUUAGAGGUUCGAGCCCUCUUCGGUGCG